GAGACAUUACUUGCGACUAGAGCUUGGAGGAGGUACUGCUUGCGAUUUCAGCUUCGAAGAGGCGUUGUGCGAUUUGGAAAGGUUAGAGAAUGUGCGACUUGAGUUUGGAGGAGAUGCUGAUGCGCAGACACUGAUGCGCGAUUUGGAGACGCUGAUGCGCGAUUAAUACUAUCUUUAUUAACCAUCUUCAUGUUCGUGAUGAUAAUACACGAUCUAUCCCAAUUCCUAAUCCGUUUUCAGGUUAUGCUGCUAACAGGAUAGUGGCUCAUGUUAUUGAACUCUUGAGCCCUGGGAACACUCCAACAAAGGUUCUUCUUAAGGAAUAAUAUGACCAUCUUGAUGGAAUCAACAUCAAGUAACUCCACUUGGUUGUAUAUAACAUAAUUUUGUCUUCACAUUUUUAACUUGACAGGAGGAGAUUCUGGGAAAAUGGACACCAUAUGGGUGACUAUAUCCCGCAAGAAGAGUUUGAAAAAUUUAUGACUUUGUGCAAUGAUGCAACUCCACAUAAAGCAAUCAGGGAUGCUGUGGAGAAGGCAAAUAUUUAGUCAGAUAAUAUUGGCCAUAAACUCCUAUCCAAGAUGGGUUGAAAAGACGGUAACUUAAACUAUUUACUUAACUUUCUGAGUAAUUCUGAAUGGCUGGAGUAUGCAGGAGAGGACUAAAUACUUAGUCUAGGGAGCUCUAGGACUGAGCUUGCAAAUCCAAUAGUAGCAGGUGAUGUUAAACUGAACAAUUUGGGUGUUAGAGUUAGCCAACCUGGAAAAGUUGUGUAUGAUGAUGAUAUAUAUGAACAACAUAAAAAUAGGAAGAUGCUUGGUUAUAGACACAUGCCCAACCCCUGGUAUGUAAUUUAACUUACAUUACAUUAAUUAUUCAUAUAGAGCAAUGAAGUCAUUCUCCAGAUUUUGUUGACUAGUUAUUUGAUUAUGAUCUAAUCUAACCUCUUUAAAUGUAGGCAUAAUUGAAUCAAUAUACACAUGCAUUUCAAUAUUAAUAUUUGAUUAAGAUUUUUAAUACUUAUUAAGUUAUUUAUCUUUUAUGGGAACAAAAAAGAAUAUAGUUUAUUACUUUAUGAAAUUAUUGAAUCCUUAAUUCUUGUUACUGAACACUGGUAUUACGGUUCUCAAUUAGUGAUAAAUUUAUUUAAUGCGUUUUAGUUGACAACCUAAAGUAAAGUGGGCUCAAAUGAAAGAUAAAGUUUAUAUUCACCUGUCAAAUUCAAAAAAUGCUAAAACUAAUAUUGAUCCUAAAAGAGUUUUUACAUUCUAUGGUACUACAUGAGCUGAGAGCCUUCAUAUUGAAUUAAGAUUAAAUCUUUUCGACGAGGUUAAUGUCAACAUAUAACAGUUAGCUGAUUCUAGCUCUUUAUAUAUAACUUUUUGUGCUAAUUUUAUUAUUGAAACAAAUUAAUCUAUUUUAAAUGGUUAUAUUAUGAAGAUCUUAGGGAUGAUAAGUAAUUCUUCAUCAACCAUCAUGUUGUCCCUCAGCACAAUUCAGGUUUAAGAAAAGAUCACAAUACGAUUGGGUUAAUAGGCCUGUUGGUUACUUUAUUUGUAUGAUCUUUUAUAAUGAAUAAAAUGUGUUGGGUAUAUAUGAGUUAAAUAAAUUAUUUGUUCUGUCCAGUUUUCCUGAUUAUAUGAAUUUUGCAAUGUCUUUUACAUAAUUUCUUAUGAAGCUCUAUGCUAUUUUUUGCUUGCCUUCUUUUCCUUACGUUUGACACAAUACAUUUGUCUUCAUUUAUAAUUCAAGUCUUUUGUUACAAACAACUUCUCUGGUCCAUUGACAUUUGAAAUUAGUAACUUACUAAAAUUAGAACAAUUGUAAGUGCCUUCCAUCUUUUGUAUUUCUUUGUUAGAUAGUCAUCUUUUGUUAGAAUGUUUCUAAUUCUUAUUGGAAGUAGAUGCACUUAAUGAAUUCUAGUUGGGGAAAGAUGACAAUUAUUAAUUGUUAUUGUACUGUGAUAUCGUUUGCAUUAAAUAAUAAUGCAAUAUUAAAAGUUAAUGUAUAUUUUUGAAUGUAUAUUUGAAACUAGAUUCAAAUAUUUGUUAAAAUUAUAUUAACGAAAAUAAAGACUAAACACUAAAUUUAACCUUCUUUCUCUUACUGUUCAUUCUCAUAUCUUCUAGAUUACAUAAUAAUAGUAUAUACAAGUACAUAUGGAUAAGAACUCAAGUUAUGUUUGUGAAUGUUUUGAACUCUUUUGAGGUCAUCAAUUGACUACUAUCUUACUAUUUAUGCUUAGAUUUCUUUUGUUUUACAUUGCAUCAUUUUUUAGGUCAAGAGGAUUAUAACAGAUUGAGGACUUUGAGCUAUCAAGGGGCAGACGUAUUUGUCUCUACAUUCUCGUUGGUUAGCCGAGCAAGCAAUGAGAACAUACUGAAAAAGUGGCUUCCUGAACUUCAGCAUUUUGCACCUCGAGUGCCAAUUAGACUAGUUUGAAUCAAAUUGGAGAUCAUGAAGAAGAAAGUUCGUGAUAGCCAAAUAGAAAGAAGGAUUGUUAAUGUCUCCUUUGAAGGUCAUAUGUUAAUGUACAAGAAUGGAUUCCAUUUUGAUAAUCUCUAAAUGACACAGAUCGGAGAACAUUGAUGCAUUGGAGACAAUAAAAGGAUUGUUGGAUGCCCUGGUUGUGAAGAUGAAGAUGAUCAUAAUGUUGUUUAGUUUUGUCUAGUGAAACGAAAGCCACACGAAUUCCCUGUCUGCUCAGUACUUUGAGGUUUUUGGCAAGUGUUUGGGAAGUCAACUAAUUGGAUGACUAUGCAGUGAGAUUUUUCAGAAAUAAAUGGAGAGUAAAUGCUCAAACUUAUAUUUGAUGUAUUUUAUUUUUAUUUUAUAAAAUUGAGAAAUAAUGUUUGUAUUUUAUAGAAAUAUUAUGUAGGUUUGUUUUAGUAAUAUGAAUGAUU